CAAAAACAUGUCCUUUUGUUUUUUAUUUAAGGUCUGACCUGCCCAAUGAGGAAUUGAAUGGCCGCAGUAUUUUAACUGUGCUAAGGUAGCAUAAUCAUUUGUCUUUUAAUUGAGGGCUGGAAUGAAAGGUUGGACGAAAUAUUAGCUUUCUUUGUCUUAAUUUGAAGAACUUAAUUUUUGAGUUAAAAAGCUUAAAUAUUUUUGUUGGACGAGAAGACCCUAUAGAUCUUUAUAAUUUUAUGUUUUGGUAAUUUAGAUUAUUAUUUACUUAAAGCAAAGUAAUUAUUUUGUUGGGGUGACUGUAGAAUUAAAAUAACUUCUAUUUAUUUGUUUCAUUUAUUAAUGUUUUUAUGAUCCAUAUUUUAUGAUUAUAAGAUUAAGUUACCUUAGGGAUAACAGCGUAAUUUUCUCGGAAAGUUCAUAUUGAUGAGAGAGUUUGCGACCUCCAUGUUGGAUUAAAAUAAGUUAUGGAUGCAGAAGUUUAUAUACUAGGUCUGUUCGACCUUUAAAAUUUUUACAUGAUCUGAGUUCAAAACCGGGAGA
rnacentral:rRNA from 1 species